UAGAUUGUAGCUAAAAUUAAAGCGCUUCAGUUACAUUGAAGAGAUCGCUUUAAUCGGCGCUGUUUAA
rnacentral:tRNA from 1 species